GUGCCAGCCGCCGCGGUAAUACCGGCAGCACGAGUGAUGACCGCUAAUAUUGGGCCUAAAGCGUCCGUAGCUGGGCGUGCAAGUCCAUCGGGUUAUCCGCGCGCUUAACGCGCGGGCGUCCGGUGGAAACUGCAUGGCUUGGGACCGGAAGACCUGAGGGGUACGUCCGCCGUAGGAGUGAAAUCCCGUAAUCCUGGACGGACCACCGGUGGCGAAAGCGCCUCUGGAAGACGGAUCCGACGGUGAGGGACGAAAGCUCGGGUCACGAACCGG
rnacentral:rRNA from 1 species